GAUGAUUGGUUUCUAUAAAUAUUAAAAAAAUAUCUUAAUUAUAUAUAUAUAUAUAGUCUUUAAUAUAAAAAUACUUAAUAAUAUAAAUAGAGAGUUGUUAAAGCUAUAUUCUAAUGUUGUUAAAGUCAUAUCUUUCUUUUCUAUUUCAUGAUUGAUUUUGUCCAUUCUUCAUCGCCUUCUCUUGUUUCCAAUCUCUUAUCUUUGUUCUCCUCCGUUGUUCCAUGUCCCAUGUUCAUUGUUAUUGUCUCAGUUUUCU
rnacentral:lncRNA from 1 species